rnacentral:rRNA from 1 species
UACGGGGGGAGCAAGCGUUGUUCGGAAUUACUGGGCGUAAAGGGCUCGUAGGUGGCCAACUAAGUCGGACGUGAAAUCCCUCGGCUUAACCGGGGAACUGCGUCCGAUACUGGUUGGCUUGAGUUUGGGAGAGGGAUGCGGAAUUCCAGGUGUAGCGGUGAAAUGCGUAGAUAUCUGGAAGAACACCGGUGGCGCAAGCGGAUUGCUGGGCCAUAACUGACACUGAGGAACGAAAGCUAGGGGAGCGAAUGGG